UACGUAGGGUGCAGGCGUUAAUCGGAAUUACUGGGCGUAAAGCGUGCGCAGGCGGUCUUUUAAGUCAGAUGUGAAAUCCCCGGGCUUAACCUGGGAACUGCGUUUGAAACUGGAAGGCUAGAGUGUGGCAGAGGGGGGUGGAAUUCCACGUGUAGCAGUGAAAUGCGUAGAUAUGUGGAGGAACACCGAUGGCGAGGGCAGCCCCCUGGGCUAACACUGACGCUCAUGCACGAAAGCGUGGGGAGCAAACAGG
rnacentral:rRNA from 1 species